rnacentral:rRNA from 1 species
AACGAACGCUGGCGGCAUGCCUAACACAUGCAAGUCGAACGGGAUCCGAGCUUCGGUUCGGUGAGAGUGGCGGACGGGUGAGUAACGCGUGGGAACCUGCCCAGUGGUGGGGGAUAACUGCGGGAAACUGCAGCUAAUACCGCAUGAGCCCGAGAGGGGAAAGAUUUAUCGCCAUUGGAGGGGCCCGCGUUCGAUUAGGUAGUUGGUGAGGUAACGGCUCACCAAGCCUUCGAUCGAUAGCUGGUCUGAGAGGAUGAUCAGCCACACUGGGACUGAGAUACGGCCCAGACUCCUACGGGAGGCAGCAGUGGGGAAUAUUGGACAAUGGGGGGCAACCCUGAUCCAGCAAUGCCGCGUGAGUGAUGAAGGCC